ACGACACUAACCUGAUGAAAGGUGCUAUACAGAUGAUUGAUUGAUUGAUUGAUUGAUUGAUUGAUUGAUGGACUGAUUGAUUGAUUGAUUGAUUGAUUGAUUGACUGAUUGAUUGAUUGACUGAUUGUAUAUCCUACAGAUCCGGGGUGGUGAUGAUGCAGUGACCUACAGCACUGUGGAAGCUCCCUCCUCUUCUACUGGACCCUCAGCUGAUCCCAGCAGCCAUGGAGAGACUCGUCCCGGUGAUUCCUCCACGGAGCAGCAGUGAAGACAGGGUCCCAGUUAAAGAUGGUGGUGAAGGUGAUGCAGUGACCUACAGCACUGGUUCUCAAACUCUUUUCAACAAUGUUCCCCCUUUGAAAUAUGUUUUCAGCCAAGUGCAACACAGCAUCAGUAUCAAUGUAUCUCACCAAAGCAAUAAGCUGUGUCUUUCCACUGACGUCUGUCCAUUCAUCCAGCUGCAGUGAAAAUGCUUCAGCAGGUUUUUGCACAACUUCAUCAACAAUGUCUGUUCCCAUCGUUUCUAUUCUGCAGCAACGGUGUCAUUUGACAAAGGCCCAGUUUAGAACUGAUCUGCUGUGUUUGUGUCCAGCAUCGUCUCGUCAGUACAGCAGCGGCUGGAAGUAGCAGGUCCUCAGCUGUGGUGAAAGGCCUUUUGGCUUCAGCAUGAGAAGCCUCCAGUGCUUUGGCUGAUGUUGUGGAGACUUUUCACAUCGUUUCUUGUGAAACUAUGAAGUCAGACUGUUUCUUCUUGAGAAACUCUGGUGUCUUACCGACAUGACACUGAUGUUUUGUGCUGAGAUGUCGCUGCAGCUGCGCUGGCUUCAUGCAACUGUUUGCUAACUUUUCCUCACAGAAAAUGCACAAUGCUUUGGGCCGAUUGCAGCUCGUCGAAGUAAAUCCCAUUAAAACAUAUUCUUCAUGAUACUGGC